rnacentral:rRNA from 1 species
CCUACGGGAGGCAGCAGUGAGGAAUAUUGGUCAAUGGCCGGAAGGCUGAACCAGCCAUGCCGCGUGAAGGUCAGUGCCCUAUGGGCGUUAAACUUCUUUUGUGCGGGAGCAAUAAUGGUCACGUGUGGCCAGACGAGAGUACCGUACGAAUAAGCAUCGGCUAACUCCGUGCCAGCAGCCGCGGUAAUACGGGGGAUGCAAGCGUUAUCCGGAGUUAUUGGGUUUAAAGGGUGCGUAGGCUGUGAGGUAAGUCAGCGGUGAAAUGCCCCCGCUCAACGGGGUGAAGUGCCAUUGAUACUGCCUGGCUGGAAUGCGGAGGCGGUGGGAGGAAUGUGUGGUGUAGCGGUGAAAUGCAUAGAUAUCACACAGAACACCGAUUGCGAAGGCAUCUCACGAAUCCGCGAUUGACGCUGAUGCACGAAAGCGUGGGUAUCAAACAGGAUUAGAUACCCCUGUAGUC